rnacentral:rRNA from 1 species
UACGUAGGGACCAAGCGUUGUUCGGAUUUACUGGGCGUAAAGGGCGCGUAGGCGGCAAUUCAAGUCAUCUGUGAAAUCUCCGGGCUUAACUCGGAACGGUCAGAUGAUACUGCUUUGCUAGAGUGCGGAAGGGGCAAUCGGAAUUCUUGGUGUAGCGGUGAAAUGCGUAGAUAUCGAGAGGAACACCUGCGGCGAAGGCGGGUAGCUGGGCCGACACUGACGCUGAGGCGCGAAAGCCAGGGGAGCGAACGGG